CGAGCGGAAGGCCCUUUCGGGGGUACUCGAGCGGCGAACGGGUGAGUAACACGUGAGUAAUCUGCCCUUGGCUUUGGGAUAAGCCCCGGAAACGGGGUCUAAUACCGGAUACGACAACUCUCGGCAUCGAGUGGUUGUGGAAAGUUUUUUCGGCCAGGGAUGUGCUCGCGGCCUAUCAGCUUGUUGGUGGGGUAAUGGCCUACCAAGGCUUCGACGGGUAGCCGGCCUGAGAGGGUGACCGGCCACACUGGGACUGAGACACGGCCCAGACUCCUACGGGAGGCAGCAGUGGGGAAUAUUGGACAAUGGGCGGAAGCCUGAUCCAGCAACGCCGCGUGAGGGAUGACGGCCUUCGGGUUGUAAACCUCUUUCAGUACCGACGAAGCGCCGAUGAUGGUGGUGACGGUAGGUACAGAAGAAGCACCGGCCAACUACGUGCCAGCAGCCGCGGUAAUACGUAGGGUGCGAGCGUUGUCCGGAAUUAUUGGGCGUAAAGGGCUCGUAGGCGGUUUGUCGCGUCGGGAGUGAAAACACCGGGCUUAACUCGGUGCUUGCUUUCGAUACGGGCAGACUAGAGGCAUGCAGGGGAGAACGGAAUUCCUGGUGUAGCGGUGAAAUGCGCAGAUAUCAGGAGGAACACCGGUGGCGAAGGCGGUUCUCUGGGCAUGUCCUGACGCUGAGGAGCGAAAGUGUGGGGAGCG
rnacentral:rRNA from 1 species